ACAUGUAGUAUGGCCUACGAGAUACACAUCUCAUUAGGUAUAUAUGAAGGCUCCGCAUAAAGGAGAUCCUUUGGAUUUUCACUAUGAAUUGGUUAUCCCAUACUCGUGGUGAAACUACAAAUGAGGCCAGUGACCUUGGUUUUUAUCCCUAAAACUAAAAAAAAUCCUAGAGCUAACCUUGUGAGGGGCCAGGUAGAAAGACCUAGAACUGUUCUUUCAUAAGGAACCUUUCCGUGUAGGUUGUUUGUUACUACCCUCAAACCCAUCCCAUUACAAAAUUG
rnacentral:lncRNA from 1 species